GGGCUACACACGUAUUACAAUGGUUAUUACAAUAGAGAGCAAUAGUGUAAGCUGGAGCAAAUUCUUAAAGAUAAUCGUAGUUCGGAUUAUUGUCUGAAAUUUGGCAAUAUGAAGGCGGAAUCGCUUGUAAUCGCGAAAAAGAAUGUCGCGGUGAAUAUGUACACAGCUUCACGACACACCGCCCGUCACGCCAUGGGAAUCGGUAUUGUUCAAAAUGAACUUACCUUAUAAAAAGUUAUUAAGUUAAGAUAUUUUUUUUUAUAAUUUGUUUUAACAUUAUUUUUAUAAGAGGUGACUUAGUAUAAUAUUGAGGACUGGGGUGAAGUCGUAACAAGGUAGCUGUAGG
rnacentral:rRNA from 1 species